GCAAGCCACGCCUCCUCAGCUCCCAGCCUUCUGGGUCCGAGGCUCCCACCUGCGCUAAGCGCUUGGUACCAGGGAGGGAAUGGGAGGACGCUUGCGGGAUAGGGAGGCGGGGGCUGGAAAUUGGCAGGGUGAGAACUGGGGAAACUAGUUUGGGACGCAGCCCUCCUUGUCCCCCUUCUUCAUUCACCCCCUUGUUGAGGCCCUUGGCUUUUGCAUAAUACACCCUUUAAAAAAAUGUAUUUAAAGAGGCUGGUUCCUAUCCAUCCGACUGGAGGCAUCUCAGUGCAAGAGCAAAGCUAAGUCCUGCACACGCACCUCCCCUCCUCCUCCUCCUUCUCCCCCCAGGUUUUCCCGAAUGUAUCUACUCCGGUUACAACUAGACGCGGCCCCUCCCCCACCUGCCUCCCCCCUUCCUUCCCUCGAUCGUGGAGGGAGCGUUCUCUGUGCCUUCCCAAGUCCCCGUGGGGUCCUUCUAUGUUGGAGUGGGGUGAGGGGGGGAGGUUCAUAUAACGAAGGCCAGAAAGAACAAAUUAGAUAAUCGAAAGAAUUAUAGUAAUUGCUUUCACUUUCCCCCGCCCGCUCAGCGGAUUCCCUCCCCCGCCCCUCCCCUGGUUUUUCUGUCUGUCGGGAAUACUCGGUCUUUCCGACCCCCUCCCCUCCCCCAGGUUCCUCCUCUCCUCUCCCCUUGCUCGCGCGUUCCCUCUCUUCCUCCGUUUUCUGGUGUGCUGGAACGUUCAGCGGAAUAUGAUGAAUGAUCACCUGUCACAGCUUGUUUAUUAUAAUGCAGGCAAUCAAUUACACAUCCCCAACGCUGGCCGGCCCGCAGGAAAUUUAUAUGCUCAGCACAAACCAAUGUGAAAAUGGAAUCUCAUUUGCCAAAUGUCUUUCUCCCCGUACAGCACGAUGAUUACAGUCUGUGUUUGUUUCAACAGUCGUGUACAACUGACAGUGCCAUCAUUUACUGCCUGGCUCAGGUCACGUUACUCUAAGGCUUUAUUUAUGGUGUUACGAAGGGCAGCACAGGAAAAGGACAAGGGUGUCUGUCAGGGAUGGCACUGUGUUAAAAAGUGGGCGUGCAAGGGCCGCAUUCCCGGGCAGCCGCUGCAACCUCAGCCCCUGGGCCCUUACCUCCGCAGCCUCUCCCAGCAUCCAGCUACCCAGACUCCAAGGCCCCAGCCGGGAGCCAGCUCUCGGUACCUGGAGCUCCACAGGUCCCAGAAUCGGGGUGGAUCAGAAUUCAAAUUCUGGUUAUGCUACUGUCUAAUUGCGUGCUGCAGGGACUCAAUCUCUUCAUCUGGGAAAUGGGAGUAAUAGCCCUUGGCAGGAAUGUUGCGAUCUCUGGGAUGUCAGAGGUGUUGAUGAAUGUUAGUUCCCGGGACUUCGGAAAGAGGUCCCGUUGGAAGAGAUGUGAAUUGGAAUUCACACCCUAUAUUAAAAUCUCCUCCAAUCUUCACCUCUGAGACAUGGCUGUCUCAAGACUGUUUUGUUUCCCUUCCUGGUGGAAUUUUGCACUUUUAUGUCCUGUGUAGCAGCAGGUAGUGUGGCUUUGAAAAAAUAAAAUGGCCACCUUGCUCCGCUGUUCUUUCUUUGUAAAAAAAAAAAAAAAAAAAAAAAAAAAAAAAAAAAAAAAAAAAAAAAAAAAACCACAUAGCAAUCUUGGCCUUUCUAGCUGUGUGACCCCAGGCCGGUCAAUCCCUCCUCCUCUCCAAGCCUCGGAUUCCUCCCCUGAGAAGUAAAGAAAAUAACUCCUAAACUGCCUCCCUAGGCUUGCUGGCAGGAUCCAAGGUGUCCAGAGAUGUUAAAAAAAAAAAAAAGCCCAGUAAAUGGGAAAGUGAGGCUGUCACUGCUGAGUGGCAUCCUGUUUUCAGGAGUUCUGGUUGGUCCCCAGAGUUCUGCUACACAAAAUGUUGACCCAAAUUUGUGCCCCCACAACACUUGGUGUCAAGUGGGAGCUCAGAAACUGAGGGGCAGGCAGAUGCUUUUAUGUGUAUUAGGUUGUCUUUUAUUGUAUUGUAUAGUUCCCUUUUUUUUUUUUUUGAGAUGGAGUCUUGCUCUAUUGCCCAGGAUGGAGUACAGUGGCACGAUCUUGGCUCACUGCAACCUCCACCUCCUGGGUUCAAGCAAUUCUCCUGCCUCAGCAUCUCAAGUAGCUGGGAUUACAGGCACGUACCACCAUGCCUGGCUAAUUUUUAUAAUUUUAGUAGAGACAGGGUUUCACCGUGUUGGCCAGGCUGGUCUCGAACUCCUGACCUCAACUGAUCCACCCACCUCAGCCUCCCAAAGUGCUGGGAUUACAGGCUUGAGCCACCGUGCCCAGCCUGUACUAUAUAUUUCUUUAUUAUUUGACACGUGUAUUUGUUUAAUGGCCCUCUGCUCCACCAGUAUGGAAGCUCCAAAAGGAAAGAUACCAGAUUGAUCUUGAUCACCUUUGCCUCCCCAGCACCUAGUCUUCCUUGGCACAUCGUGAGUGCUCGGUAAACAUCUGUGGCUUUAAUGGAUGAAUGAGUGAAUGACUACAUGGCUAAACUCCAUUCUAGGGCAACAUCUGUGGUGCAGUGGGUGGGCCCUAGUGAAUGGAUAUUUAAAGGAUAUCGUACUAUUCCUCAUCUCCACAGGGUCAGGCUGUGCCACAUCCACCCGGCCUUGCCUGGGGUCAUUCAUCUACAUGUACUCAGAUCACGUGAACUGGUGAUGGGCCACCCAUGUGCCUGCCUGGAGACUCCUAUUCACCCUUCAGAUCAAUAUCCCCCGAAUAAACUCCCAGUCACUCUGGCAUCCCA